UGAGGCAGGAGAAUUGCUUGAACCCAGGAGGCGGAGAUUGCAGUGAGCCGAGAUCGUGCCACUGCACUCCAGCCUGGGUGACAGAGCGAGACUCCGUCUC
rnacentral:miRNA from 1 species